rnacentral:rRNA from 1 species
AUUGAACGCUGGCGGCAGGCCUAACACAUGCAAGUCGAGCGAGCGGCGGACGGGUGAGUAAUGUCUGGGAAACUGCCUGAUGGAGGGGGAUAACUACUGGAAACGGUAGCUAAUACCGCAUACCAUCAGAUGUGCCCAGAUGGGAUUAGCUGGUAGGUGGGGUAACGGCUCACCUAGGCGACGAUCCCUCGCUGGUCUGAGAGGAGGACCAGCCACACUGAAACUGAGACAUGGGCCAGAUUCCUACGCGAGGCAGCAGUGGGGAAUAUUGCAAAAUGGGCGAAAGCCUGAUGCAGCCAUGCCGCGUGUGUGAAGAAGGCCUACGGGUUGUAAAGCACUUUCAGCGGGGAGGCGUUACCCGCAGAAGAAGCACCGGCUAACACCGUGCCAGCCGCCGCGGUAAUUC